rnacentral:rRNA from 1 species
AUUGAACGCUGGCGGCAGGCUUAACACAUGCAAGUCGAGCGAGCGGCGGACGGGUGAGUAAUGUCUGGGAAACUGCCUGAUGGAGGGGGAUAACUACUGGAAACGGUAGCUAAUACCGCAUACCAUCAGAUGUGCCCAGAUGGGAUUAGCUAGUUGGUGGGGUAACGGCUCACCAAGGCGACGAUCCCUAGCUGGUCUGAGAGGAUGACCCGCCAAACUGGAACUGAGAAACGGUCCAGACAAAUACGGGAGGCAGCAGUGGGGAAUAUUGCACAAGGGGCGCAAGCCUGAUGCAGCCAUGCCGCGUGUAUGAAGAAGGCCUUCGGGUUGUAAGAUACUUUCAGCGGGGAGACGUUACCCGCAGAAGAAGCACCGGCUAACUACGUGCCAGCAGCCGCGGUAAUUC